GGAUGAGCCUCCGUCUUCAAAGCCUCUUCAAACUCACUACUUUCAACAUCAGGGAAAGACAGAGGAAAACGUCUCCCACCCUGCUUCAUCACGUUUACCCAGGUGAUCCCCCAGCACACUGUUAAGGAACCCAACCUUUACAACAGUUUGUGCAGCAAAACCAGCUCUUUGCUCUGUGCCGGGCUCCAUAUCCGGACUGUCUGCUUCAGCUUCAAGCUCUUCAUCUUCACAGAGUUCUUAUAUGAGAUCAAAAUGGAAAGAACAGAUGGAGCAGUGGGUUGUCAAGACAACAGUAUCAACAGGAUGUAAACAUUCAUAAAAACAGAAUGAGCCACAUCUUCACCCUCCAAAUCGUCGCCCUGGUUGCCCCGCAGUUUGCCAUGGAGCUCCACGGCCUCCUUCCAGGGAACGCCACCGAGGUCCGAAGGGUUGGAAGGCUGCUCUUCUACCUCCAGCUCCUCCU